rnacentral:tRNA from 1 species
GCGAUAGCUCAGUUGGUAGAGCAAGUGACUGUUAAUCACUGGGUCCCUGGUUCGAGUCCCACA